CCAUUUCUCAUGGUGGUUCAGUGGUAGAAUGCUCGCCUGACACGCGGGCGGCCCAGGUUCGAUUCCCGGCCGAUGCA
rnacentral:tRNA from 1 species